AGAAGCUCAGUCCUAGAGAACUCUGAGGAUAGCCUGUGAGCUGCAAGUCUGAGGAAGCCGAAAGGAGAAUGGCCACACAGCAUGUCCUGUGGGACUGGAGAAAUAUGGAGAAUGCAGCACACUUGCUUCCUACUGAAGAAAUCCCUGAAAAACCAGAUGGCAGAAGUUACUCAGAAGAAAUGAAAGGAUUUUCCAUUAUUCAAAUAGGAGGUGGAAGAGGAAGUGUGGGAGUAAUUACUGGAUUAAGAUCACUGAAAGACAAGAUUGUCUUUAAGGGUGAGUCCUUUGGUUGGUAAACUUCAUAU
rnacentral:lncRNA from 1 species